rnacentral:rRNA from 1 species
AUUGAACGCUGGCGGCAUGCCUUACACAUGCAAGUCGAACGGCAGCGCGGGAGCAAUCCUGGUGGCGAGUGGCGAACGGGUGAGUAAUAUAUCGGAACGUGCCCAGUCGUGGGGAUAACGUAGCGAAAGCUACGCUAAUACCGCAUACGAUCUAUGGAUGAAAGCGGGGGAUCGCAAGACCUCGCGCGAUUGGAGCGGCCGAUAUCAGAUUAGGUAGUUGGUGAGGUAAAGGCUCACCAAGCCGACGAUCUGUAGCUGGUCUGAGAGGACGACCAGCCACACUGGGACUGAGACACGGCCCAGACUCCUACGGGAGGCAGCAGUGGGGAAUUUUGGACAAUGGGCGCAAGCCUGAUCCAGCAAUGCCGCGUGCAGGAUGAAGGCCU